rnacentral:rRNA from 1 species
AUGCAAUACACUUGUUACCAGGGGCCGCUCCUGUCAACUCCAAACCUUACACAUACUCACCACUGCAGAAAGAUGAGAUUGAAAGGCAAGUUGCAGAAAAUGCUUAAAGCUGGUACUAUCAUUCCCAGUCUCAGCUCUUUUGCUUCUCCUAUCCUAUUGGUAAAAAAGAAAGAUGGAUCUUGGAGAUUUUGUGCAGAUUAUAGGAAGCUAAAUUCCAUCACUGUGAAGAGCAAGUUCCCAAUGCCAGUGGUAGAUGAGCUUUUGGAUGAGCUUAGUGGCACUAAGUGGUUCUCCAAGUUAGAUCUCAGGUCAGGAUAUCAUCAAAUUAGAAUGUUACCGGAGGAUGAACACAAAACAGCUUUCAAAACUCACAGUGGACAGUAUCAUUUUAGGGUGAUGCCCUUUGGUCUUACUAAUGCCCCCUCCACUUUUCAAUGCAUCAUGAAUUGGAUUUUUGCUACUUACAACAGAAAAUUUGUUCUUGUCUUCAUGGAUGAUAUCUUAAUCUUUAGUGAGACCCUGGAAGAACAUUUGGAACAUCUCAGAAUAGUGUUUCAAACCUUAAGAGAGCAUCAGUUCUUUGCUAAGAGUACCAAAUGCACUUUUGCACAACAAUAG